GGGGCUGACAGGUUUCGACGUCAGUGUCGCUGGUCGGACGUGCGACCCGAGUUGCUCAGACUCGUUAAUCGGGGCAAACCAAUAACUGCCAACAAGCAGUUCGCUCUCGCGGCCUAAUUAGGGCGUAGAGAGCAACCGUGAGCCGCAAGGUCGCACGGGGCCAAUUCACCGCAGCCCGGCAACAGAAGCGGGGAAUGACAUCGGGAAAGACUGGUGGCGUCGGGAAAGACCGAUGACCGCACGGAAAGUCGUGCCGCGAUCCCGCAAGGGAUAGUCGACCCGCCGAUGGUGUUGCGUUAGCACCACAGCGGGAAUGGUCGUAUCACGGUCGCUCAACGGCUGAUGGACGGGGGUUCGAUUCCCCCCAGCUCCACCA
rnacentral:tmRNA from 1 species